rnacentral:lncRNA from 1 species
CUAGAUUAGGCCUUGUCUUUUCCUCCCCUGGAGGAGGUGGCUGAUUCUUACCAUGCAGUACUUGAGCAGGACACAGGGAAUAAUUGUUCAAGGUCACUCAUUCUGUUUCUGCAGUACAAAGUGAAGCAGGAAUAUUUUUUUUCCCUCUGUAAAUUUGGGAUACUAUCAGCAGACUAGUCAUCCAGGAAAUUAAAAAGCAGAAAGCAGAAUCUACCAAGUAGACUCAAUUAAGAUCUCCCCUUGAUCUUAUACAGUCCUGAGCCUUUUUCAAAGUAAAUUUCACUGACAUGGAAGUCUUUUUGACUGAACACAUUUCCCCAGUUGUGGUCUACAGGAUGCUGUUUUCUUAAGCUCAUACUAGUGUUCCAUGAAAAAAAAAAUUAACUAUUGCAAGUUUGUUUUCAGCAGACUACCUCCAAGGUCUUAAUAUACUAAUGCAUAUUAUAAUUUUGCAUGCUGUAUUUCUGAAAAUUAUUUGAUGAGGGAGACUUUCUCCAGUAACACAAGCACCACCUUGCAGGAUUAUCCCAUCUUAGAAAUGUCCAUCUAGGAGGGCUAGCUGGAUGUCACUGGUGAAAGCCAGGCCGAAACAUUCAAACUCCAGUAACCUGAGUGGGAUGUGGAGGAGCAGGAAUAGAGCAGACGUUGAGUGAUGGACGGGUCUGUGUCCCGGCUAGAUGAGAACUGCCCCCAAUUAAAGCUAGAGAAAGAACAGAGAGUUGUUUGUGGAGGGUGGCCAUGCGCUUGGCCAGCGUGGCUCACCUUGACCUGGUUGGUCACGCCAGCAUUGCUGGGUACAGUCGUUCCCCAGGGAUGGGGCAUCUUUGCUCUGCUCACUUUCUGCUCUUGCAGAUUUUUCCUGAUUUACAGUGGGUGGAUUGAAUGAGGAAACUUAUCUUCCCCCAACAGUUUGGUAACUUCCUCUUCCUAAAUUGGGAAGUCAAGAUGACUGAAAUUGGGAAAGUACUA